CAGGUACCUACGGCUUUCAACAUAGUGUCUUCAUCCUUCUGUUGAGAUGGGCCUGGAGGCCACUGUCGCUUUCCACCCUGGCUGGGCCUGUCCAGUGUGGAGCUGGCCAGGAUUCCCAAUGAGAGGAAGCUGGAGCCCUGCCCUACCCCCAGCCUCUGUUGAGCCACAGGAGCAUCCGAAGCAGGAACUGCAGUCGGGGUGCAGAGGGCUGGAGGGCAGCUGGGAAGCCCAGGCAGCAAGGGCAGCUGAACAUGAAAGCCUCAAGUUGUGCCCUCUUCAGAGCUGAAUGUGAGCUGAGGACUUCCUUCACCAGCCGUUUACUCAAACAGAGUUCCGGAGUGCCUUUCCAUGGAGCAGAAAGCGGUCACCCAGGGCGGCACCUCCACCCAGGCCUGCCCAAGACUCAGCCCCCGAGUCUCCAGUCUGUUGCUGCCUAC
rnacentral:lncRNA from 1 species